rnacentral:tRNA from 1 species
UAUGCUUUAGUAUAAUAUGUAUAAAAGUUUUUGAUACUUUAGGGGAUAGUUUAAAUCUAUUAAGCAUAA